rnacentral:lncRNA from 1 species
AUCUUUUAAAAUUUAAACCCUAAAUUUUAGAUCUUAUAUUUCUAUAAGUUAUUUUGUAAAUAGUAGAAUAUAUUUAUUUUAAAAGUUUUAGUAAUUUUAAAAUAUAUUGAAAAAUAUGAAGAAUAUUUUUUUUUGAAUAUUUUAAUUUUAAAUACUGAAACAUCAAGAUAGAUAUCAAACUAUAUUUAUUUUCGAGACUUUUAUAUAGAUGUCUUAUUAUAUAGGUAGCGACGUAUAGGUUUAAUAAGAAACAACAGAAAAUAUAUUUAGCAAAUAAAUUCCAACAUAUCUAUUAGAUUUCGCUAAGUAUGACAUUAGUCUGCGUAAUUAUUAAUUAUGUUAAAAAUUCUAAACCUGAUAUAAACAAAUCCAUCAAAAUUCUCAAUACAAUCAAAUCAUUAUAUAAUGGAGACAAUAUGAUUUGUAAAUAAAAAUAAAUAUAAAAAUUUAUAACAUAGUAACUAAAAUAAUAAAAAUAAAUAUUAAAAAAAUAUAGUAAUUCUAAAAAAAAAAUUACCUUAAAUUGGAAGAGUUGAAUCCUACGUAAUUUAAAAUAUACUAUAUGGUAGAAAAAUCUACGUAAACAAACAAAGCAUCAAAUUUAAAUUAAAGAAGAACCUGAUAAAUAUGAUUAAAAUAAGGAGAGGAUUUAUAGGAAGUUGAAAAAUUAUCAGGUGAG